rnacentral:rRNA from 1 species
GACGAACGCUGGCGGCGUGCCUAAUACAUGCAAGUAGGACGCAGUUGCGAACGGGUGAGAAACGCGUAGGUAACUGCCUAUUAGAGGGGGCUCACCAUUGGAAACGAUAGCUAAUACCGCAUACUAGUAGAUGGAGCUGCGUUGUAUUUGCUAGUAGGUAGGGGAAUGGCCUACCUAGGCGACGAUACAUAGCCGAGCGUAGAGGGAGGUCUGCCACACUGGGACUGGGACACGGGCCAGGCGCCGACGGGAGGCAGCAGUAGGGAAGCUUCGGAAAUGGGGGGAACGCGGACUGAGCAACUCCGCGUGAGUGAAGAAGGUUUUCUGGUAGUAAAUGGCUGUUGUUAAGGAAGCGGUACUUAACCAGAAAGGGACGGCUAACUACGUGCCAGCAGCCGCGGUAAUUC